CAAUAAUGCAUGAAAAGGAUCUUCAUCAAAAAUGAAAAUUGUAAAUUUGAGGUUCAUGUUCGCAAUUAACACAAACAUAAUAUGCUAAACGGAAUUAACAAAAUGCGGUAUAUAAGUUAUUAGCUGAUCCAGCAACACUCAAGUACA